UGACACUAAGUAAAAUACGACAGAUAUUUUGUUGUUUUUUUUUUUUUUUUUAUUCAUCCAUUUAGUGUCGGUUGGUCCAACGCUAGUUUUUUUUUUUAAUUUUUAAAGUUAAAUAUUUUACUUUUUCAUUUUUAAAUAAAAUUUAUUUAUCUUUAUUUUCCAUACCCCUCAUCCAUCUCUUUUUUCAUCACUACUUUUUCCUCUCAAUUCGCAAAAACCUUUUUCUUUUUUCCUGAAACGUGAAACCCUAUUCAUUUUCCACCAAAUUGCAAAACCAUCUGAAAUCGGUUUGUUCUUGUUCAAUCUCAACUUGUUCGCUCUAGUUCUCUCAAAAUCACAACCUUAUUAUUGUCGCUUUUGCAUUUUUCUUCUCCUUGUUAUGUUCGUUUUGUUGCUAUUCAUUGUGGUCAGUAAAGCGAGCUUCCACAUAAAGAAGGUAGAUCCAUGUCUUGCUAUUACAAGAAAAACAGUUUGCAAAGAAUGAUUGAAUGCAUUGGGAGAGUUGUGACUGGUAAACUGAGAAAGAGUGAUAACUACACGUAUGUUUUAUUGGUUACGUGCACAGAUCAUUGCUCAUGGUGAACUCAAAUAUAUCUGGCGUCUUAAGUUCGUUACAACAUCACUUUCUCGUUUCAUUUUUUUUUUUUUUUUUUUGAUAUUUUAUUCAUGCAUUUAUCUUCUUUGUCCAUUCACACAUAUUGUGAUUUUCGAUAAUUUAUCUUUGAUAAAUUUAAUUUUUACUUAUUUUUUUUUCUUUUGUCACUGUUGGAACUAUUCUUCACGUUGUUGUAAGAUGGAGAUAUAGAUUUUCUCAUAGAUUUUGUUGAAUUUGAGUUUAAUUUUGUAAUUAGUAUUAGGAAGCAUCUCAUCAUCUUUUAUGGAAGGAACAUGUUAAGUGUUUUAUUUCCGCUAUUAGAGUCUUUGUCUUAACAAAUUCAUUUUGUAUUUGGUUUUCUUUCUAUCAUUUAUUUGUUGCUAUCAAAGUAAGGUAUAUACUAAGUUUUUUAGUGAGAAAUUUGUAGAGAAAAAGGACUCCUGUUGUUGGAUGGUGCAUUAGCAUAUAAAA